UUUUGGAACCAGAUUCUCCUAUUAUGAUGAUCUAAUUCUUGCGAAUAAGCUUAUGGUUACUGGCACUCGAAAUUGCAUAUAAUAUCAGUUUUUUCUUAUGUAAAUGGAGAUCAACAGAGGUGAUGAAAAUGAGAUGCAUGAUAUAUAUAUUUUCGGGAUCACUUAUUCUCAGGGUAACGUUUGCGAGAAGCAUGUCACAGAUCUUCAGUUGGUAGAUUUUCUCCAGUAUGGCCCACAAAAUAACAAGGGGAAGAAUGGGAAGGCCUUUGCUGCAACAAAUUAAGGAGGGUAAUGUUGAAUUGGAAUGUGCUACUGAAAAUCCUCUUUGCACCCUUCAAGAAGCAUUCGAGAAGG